GACGAACGCUGGCGGCGUGCCUAAUACAUGCAAGUCGAACGCUUCUUUCCUCCCGAGUGCUUGCACUCCAUUGGAAAGAGGAGUGGCGGACGGGUGGGUAACACGUGGGUAACCUACCCAUCAGAGGGGGAUGACACUUGGAAACAGGUGCUAAUACCGCAUAACAGUUUAUGCCGCAUGGCAUAAGAGUGAAAGGCGCUUCCGGGUGUCGCUGAUGGAUGGACCCGCGGUGCAUUAGCUAGUUGGUGAGGUAACGGCUCACCAAGGCCACGAUGCAUAGCCGACCUGAGAGGGUGAUCGGCCACACUGGGACUGAGACACGGCCCAGACUCCUACGGGAGGCAGCAGUAGGGAAUCUUCGGCAAUGGACGAAAGUCUGACCGAGCAACGCCGCGUGAGUGAAGAAGGUGUUCGGAUCGUAAAACUCUGUUGUUAGAGAAGAACAAGGACGUUAGUAACUGAACGUCCCCUGACGGUAUCUAACCAGAAAGCCACGGCUAACUACGUG
rnacentral:rRNA from 1 species